rnacentral:lncRNA from 1 species
GGACGGAGCUCAGAUUUUUUUUUUCCUUUUUCACAUUGAAGCUGGAUGGAAAAAUCCUAGAUUCUCACUUUUCCUUACCUUUCCUGUAAACCAACUGCCUCAUCCUUGAUCUUUGUACCUCUAUCAUUUUUCUUUAGGUUUUGUAAACAAGGAAAGGGAAAAGGAAAAAAUAAAAAAAACCACCAAAAGGAAGAAAUAAUUUCUGGAAUCAGAUGAGGCACUCAUUUAAUCAUUCAGCAACACUGAAUGAGGCCUGCUAUCCUGUUUACAUCUAUGCUGGAAGGCUCUACUUCCAGACCUUUGGAUCACAGGUGAAACAUCAUUUACCAGGAGAAGUCUUCCCUGACCACUGUUGCUGCUGCUGCUAAGUCGCUUCAGUCAUGUCCGACUCUGUGCGACCCCAUAGACGGCAGCCCACCAGGCUCCUCCGUCCAUAGGAUUUUCCAGGCAAGAGUACUGGAGUGGGGUGCCAUUGCCUUCUCCGUUCCCUGACCACAGGCGUGGUCAAGUUUAUGUCCCCCUGCUAUACGCUUUCUAGUACCCUUUAUUUUGGUUAGUGUUUGUCGUUCCAGGUCAGCUAUAAGCGCCACGAAGCCAGAGAUCAUAUCUAUUUUUACUUAUUAUUAUAUCUGUGGCACUUAGUAUAAUCCCCAGGUUAAGAACCGAUAAAUAUUCAUCAAAUGAAUGAAUAUCAAGAAUACAGCAUAAGAUACAAUUCUUAGACAGGGAGAAGCUGUCCCUCUAUGCUCUAAGUCAAAACAGCAGAACUGAGACCCCUGUUUCUUUGCCUGGACAGCGGUGUAAUUGAUCCAUCCCACUGUAAUGAACUGGAGGGCUGAUUAAGAGCUUAUGUAAAUGUCGAAACCUUUGGCAGCCCUUCAUUUCCCUCCGCUUUUGCCAUGACUCAAAGCACGGAAAUUUGUCAAAAGAGAAAGCUUUCAGAGAACACCCACACCCAACGGUGGAAACCUUAGAAGAGUGGAGCGCAGGGGAACGUCCCUCGGUGAAGGCUUAGGGGGUUCUGGACAGGUUUUCAAAGGCAUAUGGAGACAAGAUGUCAGUGUGAGCUUGUUUCUCUGACAAUCUGAAAUGCUUUUAACCAGCAAGUUUCCAAGAGGCUUUUAAGUGAAGAGGUUAACGUGGUAGGUUUAUAAAUAAAUGGAUGUAUGUGGUGACUUCA